CCAUGCAUGUCUAAGCAUAAGCAACUAUACGGUGAAACUGCGAAUGGCUCAUUAAAUCAGUUAUCGUUUAUUUGAUAGUACCUUACUACUUGGAUAACCGUGGUAAUUCUAGAGCUAAUACAUGCUAAAAACCCCAACUUCGGAAGGGGUGCAUUUAUUAGAUAAAAAACCAACGCCCUUCGGGGCUCCUUGGUGAUUCAUAAUAACUAAACGAAUCGCAUGGCCUUGCGCCGGCGAUGGUUCAUUCAAAUUUCUGCCCUAUCAACUUUCGAUGGUAGGAUAGUGGCCUACCAUGGUAUCAACGGGUAACGGGGAAUUAGGGUUCUAUUCCGGAGAGGGAGCCUGAGAAACGGCUACCACAUCCAAGGAAGGCAGCAGGCGCGCAAAUUACCCAAUCCCGACACGGGGAGGUAGUGACAAUAAAUACUGAUACAGGGCUCUUUUGGGUCUUGUAAUUGGAAUGAGUACAAUUUAAAUCCCUUAACGAGGAACAAUUGGAGGGCAAGUCUGGUGCCAGCAGCCGCGGUAAUUCCAGCUCCAAUAGCGUAUAUUAAAGUUGUUGCAGUUAAAAAGCUCGUAGUUGAACCUUGGGCCUGGCUGGCCGGUCCGCCUCACCGCGUGUACUGGUCCGGCCGGGCCUUUCCUUCUGGGGAGCCGCAUGCCCUUCACUGGGCGUGUCGGGGAACCAGGACUUUUACUUUGAAAAAAUUA
rnacentral:rRNA from 1 species